UAGGGAAUCUUCCACAAUGGACGCAAGUCUGAUGGAGCAACGCCGCGUGAGUGAAGAAGGCUUUCGGGUCGUAAAACUCUGUUAUUGAAGAAGAACGUGUGUGACAGUAACUGGUCAUGCAGUGACGGUAUUCAAUCAGAAAGUCACGGCUAACUACGUGCCAGCAGCCGCGGUAAUACGUAGGUGGCAAGCGUUGUCCGGAUUUAUUGGGCGUAAAGCGAGUGCAGGCGGUCUUUUAAGUCUGAUGUGAAAGCCUUCGGCUUAACCGAAGAAGGGCAUCGGAAACUGGGAGACUUGAGUGCAGAAGAGGAGAGUGGAACUCCAUGUGUAGCGGUGAAAUGCGUAGAUAUAUGGAAGAACACCAGUGGCGAAGGCGGCUCUCUGGUCUGUAACUGACGCUGAGGCUCGAAAAGCGUGGGUAGCAAACAGGAUUA
rnacentral:rRNA from 1 species